AGGUAUGGUUGUGCUGUCCCAACGUCAUAUUUAAAUAUAUUUUCAUGUUACAAUUACACACUAAAGAAUUUGGCUACAUUUACUUAUUUUGUUUUCAGUUUGCAUGUAACUUUUGUGAUAAAAUAAAAUUUGUUUUCUUAUAUAAAUGGGGGUAAGGCUAGCCGACAUUCACCUCUCCCAGACCCUGCGUAAAGCGGGAGCCUUGUGCACUGGGUACGACCUACGACCUAAUAUAAAACUACAAAUUAACGUGGAAAGGACUGUAACAGUGUAAGUCAUAUUAGUCGGGGGAUAUUUAAGGCUUUUUCACUACUGUCUGGGG
rnacentral:lncRNA from 1 species